ensembl:misc_RNA Y_RNA Y RNA
GGCUGGUCGAAGGGCAGUGGUGUUUACAACUAACUGAUCACAGCCAGUUACAGAUUUCUUUGUUCCUUUUCCACUCCCACUGCUUCAUUUGAACAAACAAAA